rnacentral:rRNA from 1 species
CCCUUAGAUGUUCUGGGCCGCACGCGCGCUACACUGACGAUGGCAACGAGUUUUUCCUUCGCCGAAAGGUGUGGGUAAUCUUUUGAAACAUCGUCGUGCUGGGGAUAGAUCAUUGCAAUUUUUGAUCUUGAACGAGGAAUUCCUAGUAAGCGCGAGUCAUCAGCUCGCGUUGAUUACGUCCCUGCCCUUUGUACACACCGCCCGUCGCUACUACCGAUUGAAUGGUUUAGUGUGGACUCCUGAUUGGCGCCGCCGCCCCGGCAACGGAGCAGCGGACUGCCGAAAAGUUGUUCAAACUUGAUCAUUUAGAGGAAGUAAAAGUCGUAACA